GUAACGGUGCAUAUACUAAAAUUGGAAUGCAACAGAGAAGAUUACCAUGCUCCCUGCGUAAAAUCGUGAAGCGUUCCACAUUUUU
rnacentral:snRNA from 1 species